CCUACGGGAGGCAGCAGUGGGGAAUUUUGGACAAUGGGCGCAAGCCUGAUCCAGCAAUGCCGCGUGCAGGAUGAAGGCCUUCGGGUUGUAAACUGCUUUUGUACGGAACGAAACGGCUCCUUCUAAUACAAGGGGCUAAUGACGGUACCGUAAGAAUAAGCACCGGCUAACUACGUGCCAGCAGCCGCGGUAAUACGUAGGGUGCGAGCGUUAAUCGGAAUUACUGGGCGUAAAGCGUGCGCAGGCGGUUAUAUAAGACAGAUGUGAAAUCCCCGGGCUCAACCUGGGACCUGCAUUUGUGACUGUAUAGCUAGAGUACGGUAGAGGGGGAUGGAAUUCCGCGUGUAGCAGUGAAAUGCGUAGAUAUGCGGAGGAACACCGAUGGCGAAGGCAAUCCCCUGGACCUGUACUGACGCUCAUGCACGAAAAGCGUGGGGAGCAAACAGGAUUAGAUACCCUGGUAGUCCACGCCCUAAACGAUGUCAACUGGUUGUUGGGUCUUCACUGACUCAGUAACGAAGCUAACGCGUGAAGUUGACCGCCUGGGGAGUACGGCCGCAAGGUUGAAAACUCAAAAGGAAUUGACGG
rnacentral:rRNA from 1 species